GGGUUGUGAGGUUAAGCGACUAAGCGUACACGGUGGAUGCCCUGGCAGUCAGAGGCGAUGAAGGACGUGCUAAUCUGCGAUAAGCGUCGGUGAGGUGAUAUGAACCGUUAUAACCGGCGAUUUCCGAAUGGGGAAACCCAGUGUGUUUCGACACACUAUCAUUAACUGAAUCCAUAGGUUAAUGAGGCGAACCGGGGGAACUGAAACAUCUAAGUACCCCGAGGAAAAGAAAUCAACCGAGAUUCCCCCAGUAGCGGCGAGCGAACGGGGAGGAGCCCAGAGCCUGAAUCAGUGUGUGUGUUAGUGGAAGCGUCUGGAAAGGCGUGCGAUACAGGGUGACAGCCCCGUACACAAAAAUGCACAUAUUGUGAGCUCGAUGAGUAGGGCGGGACACGUGGUAUCCUGUCUGAAUAUGGGGGGACCAUCCUCCAAGGCUAAAUACUCCUGACUGACCGAUAGUGAACCAGUACCGUGAGGGAAAGGCGAAAAGAACCCCGGCGAGGGGAGUGAAAAAGAACCUGAAACCGUGUACGUACAAGCAGUGGGAGCCUCUUAAUGGGGUGACUGCGUACCUUUUGUAUAAUGGGUCAGCGACUUAUAUUCUGUAGCAAGGUUAACCGAAUAGGGGAGCCGAAGGGAAACCGAGUCUUAACUGGGCGUUAAGUUGCAGGGUAUAGACCCGAAACCCGGUGAUCUAGCCAUGGGCAGGUUGAAGGUUGGGUAACACUAACUGGAGGACCGAACCGACUAAUGUUGAAAAAUUAGCGGAUGACUUGUGGCUGGGGGUGAAAGGCCAAUCAAACCGGGAGAUAGCUGGUUCUCCCCGAAAGCUAUUUAGGUAGCGCCUCGUGAAUUCAUCUCCGGGGGUAGAGCACUGUUUCGGCAAGGGGGUCAUCCCGACUUACCAACCCGAUGCAAACUGCGAAUACCGGAGAAUGUUAUCACGGGAGACACACGGCGGGUGCUAACGUCCGUCGUGAAGAGGGAAACAACCCAGACCGCCAGCUAAGGUCCCAAAGUCAUGGUUAAGUGGGAAACGAUGUGGGAAGGCCCAGACAGCCAGGAUGUUGGCUUAGAAGCAGCCAUCAUUUAAAGAAAGCGUAAUAGCUCACUGGUCGAGUCGGCCUGCGCGGAAGAUGUAACGGGGCUAAACCAUGCACCGAAGCUGCGGCAGCGACACUAUGUGUUGUUGGGUAGGGGAGCGUUCUGUAAGCCUGUGAAGGUGGCCUGUGAGGGUUGCUGGAGGUAUCAGAAGUGCGAAUGCUGACAUAAGUAACGAUAAAGCGGGUGAAAAGCCCGCUCGCCGGAAGACCAAGGGUUCCUGUCCAACGUUAAUCGGGGCAGGGUGAGUCGACCCCUAAGGCGAGGCCGAAAGGCGUAGUCGAUGGGAAACAGGUUAAUAUUCCUGUACUUGGUGUUACUGCGAAGAGGGGACGGAGAAGGCUAUGUUGGCCGGGCGACGGUUGUCCCGGUUUAAGCGUGUAGGCUGAUUUUCCAGGCAAAUCCGGAAAAUCAAGGCUGAGGCGUGAUGACGAGGCACUACGGUGCUGAAGCAACAAAUGCCCUGCUUCCAGGAAAAGCCUCUAAGCAUCAGGUAACAUCAAAUCGUACCCCAAACCGACACAGGUGGUCAGGUAGAGAAUACCAAGGCGCUUGAGAGAACUCGGGUGAAGGAACUAGGCAAAAUGGUGCCGUAACUUCGGGAGAAGGCACGCUGAUAUGUAGGUGAAGCGACUUGCUCGUGGAGCUGAAAUCAGUCGAAGAUACCAGCUGGCUGCAACUGUUUAUUAAAAACACAGCACUGUGCAAACACGAAAGUGGACGUAUACGGUGUGACGCCUGCCCGGUGCCGGAAGGUUAAUUGAUGGGGUUAGCGGCAACGCGAAGCUCUUGAUCGAAGCCCCGGUAAACGGCGGCCGUAACUAUAACGGUCCUAAGGUAGCGAAAUUCCUUGUCGGGUAAGUUCCGACCUGCACGAAUGGCGUAAUGAUGGCCAGGCUGUCUCCACCCGAGACUCAGUGAAAUUGAACUCGCUGUGAAGAUGCAGUGUACCCGCGGCAAGACGGAAAGACCCCGUGAACCUUUACUAUAGCUUGACACUGAACAUUGAGCCUUGAUGUGUAGGAUAGGUGGGAGGCUUUGAAGUGUGGACGCCAGUCUGCAUGGAGCCGACCUUGAAAUACCACCCUUUAAUGUUUGAUGUUCUAACGUUGGCCCGUAAUCCGGGUUGCGGACAGUGUCUGGUGGGUAGUUUGACUGGGGCGGUCUCCUCCUAAAGAGUAACGGAGGAGCACGAAGGUUGGCUAAUCCUGGUCGGACAUCAGGAGGUUAGUGCAAUGGCAUAAGCCAGCUUGACUGCGAGCGUGACGGCGCGAGCAGGUGCGAAAGCAGGUCAUAGUGAUCCGGUGGUUCUGAAUGGAAGGGCCAUCGCUCAACGGAUAAAAGGUACUCCGGGGAUAACAGGCUGAUACCGCCCAAGAGUUCAUAUCGACGGCGGUGUUUGGCACCUCGAUGUCGGCUCAUCACAUCCUGGGGCUGAAGUAGGUCCCAAGGGUAUGGCUGUUCGCCAUUUAAAGUGGUACGCGAGCUGGGUUUAGAACGUCGUGAGACAGUUCGGUCCCUAUCUGCCGUGGGCGCUGGAGAACUGAGGGGGGCUGCUCCUAGUACGAGAGGACCGGAGUGGACGCAUCACUGGUGUUCGGGUUGUCAUGCCAAUGGCACUGCCCGGUAGCUAAAUGCGGAAGAGAUAAGUGCUGAAAGCAUCUAAGCACGAAACUUGCCCCGAGAUGAGUUCUCCCUGACUCCUUGAGAGUCCUGAAGGAACGUUGAAGACGACGACGUUGAUAGGCCGGGUGUGUAAGCGCAGCGAUGCGUUGAGCUAACCGGUACUAAUGAACCGUGAGGCUUAACCUUACAACGCCGAAG
rnacentral:rRNA from 1 species